rnacentral:rRNA from 1 species
AAAUUGAAGAGUUUGAUCAUGGCUCAGAUUGAACGCUGGCGGCAGGCCUAACACAUGCAAGUCGAACGGUAACAGGAAGCAGCUUGCUGCUUCGCUGACGAGUGGCGGACGGGUGAGUAAUGUCUGGGAAACUGCCUGAUGGAGGGGGAUAACUACUGGAAACGGUGGCUAAUACCGCAUAACGUCGCAAGACCAAAGAGGGGGACCUUCGGGCCUCUUGCCAUCAGAUGUGCCCAGAUGGGAUUAGCUUGUUGGUGAGGUAACGGCUCACCAAGGCGACGAUCCCUAGCUGGUCUGAGAGGAUGACCAGCCACACUGGAACUGAGACACGGUCCAGACUCCUACGGGAGGCAGCAGUGGGGAAUAUUGCACAAUGGGCGCAAGCCUGAUGCAGCCAUGCCGCGUGUAUGAAGAAGGCCUUCGGGUUGUAAAGUACUUUCAGCGGGGAGGAAGGUGUUGCGGUUAAUAACCGCAGCAAUUGACGUUACCCGCAGAAGAAGCACCGGCUAACUCCGUGCCAGCAGCCGCGGUAAUACGGAGGGUGCAAGCGUUAAUCGGAAUUACUGGGCGUAAAGCGCACGCAGGCGGUCUGUCAAGUCGGAUGUGAAAUCCCCGGGCUCAACCUGGGAACUGCAUUCGAAACUGGCAGGCUUGAGUCUUGUAGAGGGGGGUAGAAUUCCAGGUGUAGCGGUGAAAUGCG